rnacentral:misc_RNA from 1 species
GAUGAAGAACGUAGUGAAAUGCGAUAAGUAGUGUGAAUUGCAGAAUUCAGUGAAUCAUCGAAUCUUUGAACGCACAUUGCGCCCCUCGGUAUUCCGUGGGGCAUGCCUGUUCGAGCGUCAUUUAACCCCUCAAGCCUAGCUUGGUAUUGGGUGCUUGUCCCGCCUCUCGCGCGGCGGCUCACCUCAAAGUCAUUGGCAGCCCGCAUCUCGCCGGCCGUGAGCGCAGCACAGACGCGCUCUUGGCAACGACGGAUCGGCUCUCCAAAAGCUUAUUUCAACCACUGACCUCGGAUCAGGUAGGGAUACCCGCUGAACUUAAGCAUAUCAAUAAGCGGAGGA